UAUAUGGGACGUUCUGAAGAAUGUGGGAAUUUGUGAAAAUCAUAGUUUACUGAAUUGUUCAAUCAUCUUUAAGUUCAAAGGUAAACUUUAAAACGAAAUUUGUAUACAUUUUAGCUAUGUGUAAGUCGUAUGGCAAAAUUCCAGCUUAUGGUUACGUGAAGUUUUACGCAAUUUGGUGCAUAGUUAUUGGUGGAUUGCACAUUAUUCAUGCAACGUAUGCAAUAUUUUUCAAAUUUGAGAAAAAAAGGCAUUUUUUUAACAGCAUUGUGUUUACUAUUAUUCAUUUAAUUUUCUCUAUAACGUAUGUUUUUGCUGGGAUUGCCCUGCUGAUGGCAAUAUCUAAGGGUUCAAAGAUGCUUUUUAAGUUUGGAAAAGUUGUAUCCUAUUUCUUCCCAAUACUAAACAUAUACGCAAUAUUUCCAUCAGUGGUUCAUUGUGUGUGCAUACCGAAAAUAUGUGUAUUUAUUAAGGAAACUUGGAACUAAAGUUGCUGGACCUUAUAUGUUAUUACGGACUAUAGAUUACAGUAUUUCCCGGACUAGAAACGCCGAACCACCGUAUGGAGCUCUUCCGUCUUAUUUAAAAAAUUGUUUA